rnacentral:rRNA from 1 species
AUAUCAGUAAGCGGAGGAAAAGAAAGCAACAGCGAUUCCUUUAGUAACUGCGAGUGAACCAGGAUAAGCUCAACACUGAAUCGGGUGGUGGUAACCAUCAUUCCGAAUUGUGGUGUUUCGAUGAAUCCAAGAGUUGGACUCUGUACUAAGUUUGUUGGAAAACAGUGCCAUAGAGGGUGACAGCCCCGUGAGUGUAGAGCAUUUCCGAUUCAAUAGGAUUUAUUCGUAGAGUCGUACUGUUUGAGAGUACAGUGCAAAUUGGGAGGUGAAUUUCUCCUAAAGCUAAAUAUUUGCUGGAGACCGAUAGCGCACAAGUA